rnacentral:lncRNA from 12 species
UAAUUCCUCUCUGCUUCAAAUUCCUCUUUCAUUUAGAUCAGGCUUGACCAGUUGUUGAAAGAAGGAAAAACAGCCUACCCCAACUUGGUGGUUGCCUGCAGAGACAGGAUUUCAUUUAGAAAACGUUUAUUCUCCUGGACAUGUAAGCCUCAGUACAGCUACUGUUCAAUGAAAGACGCUUACUGAGAAGGAUGGAUUGUGAACUGAAG